AGUGGCGCACGGGUGAGUAACACGUGACUAACCUACCCUUGAGUGGGGGAUAACCUGGGGAAACCUUGGCUAAUACCGCAUAACACCUAUGGGUCAAAGGAGCAAUUCGCUUAAGGAGGGGGUCGCGGCAGAUUAGUUAGUUGGCGGGGUAACGGCCCACCAAGACAGUGAUCUGUAUCCGGCCUGAGAGGGCGCACGGACACACUGGAACUGAAACACGGUCCAGACUCCUACGGGAGGCAGCAGUGGGGAAUUUUGCGCAAUGGGGGAAACCCUGACGCAGCAACGCCGCGUGGAGGAUGAAGUCCCUUGGGACGUAAACUCCUUUCGAUCGGGACGAUUAUGACGGUACCGGAAGAAGAAGCCCCGGCUAACUUCGUGCCAGCAGCCGCGGUAAUACGAGGGGGGCGAGCGUUGUUCGGAAUUAUUGGGCGUAAAGGGUGCGUAGGCGGUUUGGUAAGUCUUGUGUGAAAUCUACAGGCUCAACUUGUAGUCUGCACGAGAAACUGCCGGGCUUGAGUAUGGGAGAGGUGAGUGGAAUUCCUGGUGUAGCGGUGAAAUGCGUAGAUAUCAGGAGGAACACCUGUGGCGAAAGCGGCUCACUGGACCAUAACUGACGCUGAUGCACGAAAGCUAGGGGAGCAAACAGGAUUAGAUACCCUGGUAGUCCACGCCCUAAACGAUGCAUACUUGGUGUGAGCGAUUCAUUUCGUUCGUGCCGGAGCUAACGCGUUAAGUAUGCCGCCUGGGGAGUACGGUCGCAAGGCUGAAACUCAAAGGAAUUGACGGGGGCCCGCACAAGCGGUGGGGCAUGUGGUUCAAUUCGA
rnacentral:rRNA from 1 species